UGGGCGGAUCUACACUUCACAGUGUUCUCAUCAACUGGAGGUCACCUGUCCACAUAUGAAGGUGAGGAAGAUGAUGGCAUCAGAAUCCAAUAUUUGCUUUAUCAGCAGCCUGUGUUUGUUUAUCUGAGGCAAAGAUCAGAGAACGGCCGAUCACAGCCAAACAUCAACAAUGUCAGCCAAUAUCUGAUAAGAAGAACAUGGCAGAGGACACAGCAAAGAACUCACUGACACAAACACCCAAAAGCAGGUGUAGGUGUGUGUGUAUCAAAUCAAUGGCGUGCUGAACAGUAGUUCCUGAAGAGAUUCACACUCUGAAAAAGAAAUAUCCCAGAGUUUCCUUCAUAACCUUCAGAGAAUGAUGAGGAAUGAUCUUGAGGUCUGGCCGGAAAGAGAAAGAGAGGGAAAACCUGUCGGCCCCAGCAGAUGGGGGUUAGGGUUCUCCAGUUUAUUCCAUUUCAAACAGGUAAUGGGCUGUGAAAUGAAUAACAGUAAGCAUUUUUCUUCAGUGUGAUGACAGUUUCAAUCAAAAUAUGGACAUGGAAAUUAGUGUGAAUGUUUGUUGGUUUCUCUUGCAUCUGUCAGUGUGUGUACGUGAGCUGCAUUAUUAAUUCUGCAUCAUUUUAGCCUACUGCGAUUUAGGAGGCACUUCCGGUUUGGGAAGUUUCCGCUGAAAAA